UACCUUUUACUUAUAAUUAUUUAAUCAAGUAAAACUGUCAGUUUUUUCUAUUCUAUACACAAGCACAUAUGUACAGGAGAUCAGAGCGAUGGUGCAGAGCGAUCGACACCUAGUUCAUCUCUGUAUUAGGGUUCAAAUCGGAAGCUAUUGAAGGGUGCCAGAAGCUUCAAUUUAGUUCCUAUUUAUAUCUCUUAAUUUUUCUUGGCAAGGUUUUCCUUUAUAGUCCUGCAGAUGGGAGGUGCACUAAUUUGUGCACAAAGUACAUUUGUGAAGAGGAAUGUACUUGUUCUAGACAGAAUUGAAUGAUCUCCAUUUCCAAAUUUUGGCCAAAAAGUAUGUCAGGUCUUUCUACUAUAUCCUUCAUUGGUGGAUCUAGGGAAUUGAGGAGAAUAAUAAUAGCCAGAGGAGGAUAAGAGUAUGGUUGGACUCUGUUCCAGCAUUUCUAGUUCCUUGGACAGAAAAAAUAGUUCUUUCUCCUCUGUUCCAACAUUUCUGGUUUCACUUUGUGAUCUUAACUGCUCUUAAUUAACACAACUAAAUUAUAUCAUCCUGAUUAUUAUAAAUGAAAUAAGCUGAUUUGACUUUAAUUUCUGUAAAAUAAUAACUACAUGAUAUGUUUUUAAGUUUGAGUAAAAUCCAUUUCUAACAAUAUCUUAUUUAUUUUUCUUGUUCUGGGGUAAAUUGCAGACCGGGCUUCUUUUCUUUUAUGAUGGCUUCUGGGGCUUUUAUCCUCGUAUUCAAGCUAUAUUUACAUUCCACAACAAUGAAUGAUGCUUGAAAAAGAGAGGGCUUCAGGAAUGUACAGACUUUCAUUGUAUAUCAUGUCAUAAGUUGUAGGCGACCUCCCCAUGGAGCUUGUACUCCCAACUGUUUUCAUUAUCAUAACAUAUUUGAUGGCAGGCCUGAAGCGAACCUCUAAAAUUUCUUCAUGACCUUAUUUUCACUAUUAUAUAAUGCACUGGUUUCUCAAGGCCUCUUAAGUCUUUUGAUGACUCUAAGUCUUCACUGAGCCUCCCACUAGUCUGUACAAAUUGACUUUUGGAGCUUCUGCGACUAAUCUCACUUCAUUGAAGGAUUGCAGGUGUCUCGUCCACUCCUAGGCAGCACUCCUAGGCGGCAAAAGCGCAGCUUGAUUAUGAUGGAAAUAAUUAGUUUUAUUGUGGCAUCUCUCUUGUAUAAUAAUUUUACUUGUGUUAUUAGUGAUUUUUAUUAAACAGAAUUAGUGACUUAUUUUUGGUUUUAUGGAAGUUGAUACUAUGGUUUGUUUUUAUUA